AGGAGAAAAAAAGAAAUGACAUUUGAAAAAAAAAAUUUUCUAUGCACUGCUCCCUUCUCUGCUCCAUUCUGAUGCAUUCACUUGUUGACAAAUAGAUUCGUGUACGUCCUUAUUUUCCUCGUGUGAACUGGUAUCUGGCUCCAAACUGUAUGGCUGGAUAGCUCGGUUAUUGCUUUGUUGCUCUGUUAAACUUAAGUUUGGGAUGUGAGGGGCUGUAAGCUGGCAGGAACAGAGAGGGGAAGUGGGGCGGGGUUGCCCCGCCCACAACUCAGAGCUGAAUUUCUACUGAACUACUAUCACUCUGCAGAAACUACCUUUUUUUUUGGCUAAUAACAGCCGAAUCAUAGAUCUAACGAUGGUUGGAGUGGGACUUUAACGUAAACAUUUCUCAGUGAUGAUCGGAGAAAAAAAAAGAGUGAAAAGACUUAGUUUAUCUCAAAGCCCUUUGCUCCGAGAGCUGACUGCAGCUGCAGGAGUCUGGUCUAUUUAUAGGAACCCCACAUGUUCUUUCAACGGCUUUAGAGAAGGAACAGCCGACAAACAAAUGUCUGUAGAUUUCCCUUCAAUCCUUCUUACUUCAGCCCUUCUGUGAAGCAUAUUUGACUCCUCUGGUUACCGUUAUCAGACUUUCUUUACUACAUUGGAAGAACUUUGUCCCUGUGUGAAGACCUCUGCCACACUUGCUCCUCCCUUUUUAUUAGCGUAACCAAUCAAGUAAGAGUUAGUAGCUCUUUGAAAUAAAACACAGAAGAGAAAAGAAACACACAGAAAGAUACAUUUCUUUGACCAUGAAGCGGGCUUGGGCUUUAUUUAAAGCUCACCCCUACAUCAGUAACGUCCUGGGAUACACAGCGCUCUUUGCUUCAGCAGACCUCAUCCAGCAGAGCGUCCUGCGAGGGAAACCCAGCACCACAUCUGCAUCAGAGGACACGCCGGCGAGCAUCGACUGGCGUCAGACGGCCCGUGUGGCGACUGUUGGCUUCUGUUUCCAUGCCAACUUCAACUAUCACUGGCUGCGGGGGCUGGAGAGGAUGCUGCCAGGAGGCGGCGUGAAGGCGGUGGCGGGAAAAGUUGUGGUGGAUCAACUUAUAGCAGCUCCUCUCACCAUCAGUGCUUUUUACAUCGGUUUGAGUUUAAUGGAAAGCAAAGUGGAUCCUCUUGAAGUCUGGAGACAGAAAUUCUGGACUUCUUACAAGGCUGGGGUGGUUUAUUGGUCAACAAUGCAGGCGAUCAACUUUACCUUUGUUCCCCCUGUGGCACGGACAGCGUUCCUCGGAGGCGUCGCUCUAACGUUCACGAUCUUUCUUUGCCACUUCAAACAGCAGCAGAAUCGCUGACCCAAACAAGCCCAACAAAUUCCUAAUGCAAGGUUUAGAUCUGAUCCGUCUGUCUAGGAAUGAUAAGAUCUUAAGGGAAAAACAAAAACUGGGAGGGAUUCCACAUUAACACUGGUUAAUUUGAAAAUCAGAAGAACUGCUCAAAUCUGAACUGUGUACAUAAAAAUGUAUUAAAAAAAGAUUGCAUUUCUGAAACUGUACAUUAUAAAUGUAGUUUUUGAGCUAUAAAGUAUGAAGCCAUACACUAUUAAACAAACCGUGAAUCUACAAAAGGUCUGGAUUUUUCAUUUUGCACAAGAAAUUAGUAAAGUAAUAUUUUAUUCUGAAAACUAAACACAAUUUUUUAAAAAGUGAAGUGAAAUACAUGUCAUCCUAGAUUGAGAUAUUAGCAUUGUCAAGGUUCUUAAUAUGUCCUUUGUUAGUACAUUAUGAAAUUAUUUGUUUAUUCAGUUCAUAAAAAUAAUAAAAUUCCUGCAAAUUAAACAAAUGUUUUUAAUCUUUUUUUUACUUUAACUUGGGUCCAAACUUAAAACUUAGCUCUAUAUUUGUUACAGUUUCAUUUAAUGUAAUUUUUUCUUCUUUUUUUUAUUUUUUAUUUUCAUCUAAUUUUCCUUUAUGCUAUAAAACCAUUUGAAUGUCUAUGAAGCAACUUCAUAUUGACUUUAUUUUUUGUUUUAGAGUAGCAUUAAAGUAAGGAUAAGUUCAAAUGAAUGAAUUAAUCCUUUGGGAUAUGAAUAAAGUUCAAUUUAAAUAAUAAAGAGUUAAUUGCAUUUAAAAUAUGUCAAUUUAUAGAAUCAAAUAAAUUGCUCUUAUAAAAGUUCCGUGAAAGUCCAUUUAGAAAGUGCUCAAUGUAAUGAUCAGUCCUGCCACGUGGGGCAGCAUCAGAAAUCAGCACAUUACUUUUUUUUGCUGGUUGGCAGGAAACGGGUACUUUAGAACCAAUCACAUGCUCGAGAUUUCGGCCACGUAUGUUAUCGCGAGAACUUUGGCCUUCCUUUUCCCUUUUCGCUCUGAAUCCAAGAUGGGCGUAGACAUCAGGCACAACAAGGACCGCAAGGUGCACAGGAAGGAGCCAAAGAGCCAGGAUAUCUACCUGAGGCUCCUGGUUAAG